rnacentral:rRNA from 1 species
UACAGAGGUCCCAAGCGUUGUUCGGAUUCACUGGGCGUAAAGGGUGCGUAGGCGGUCGGGUAAGUCUGAUGUGAAAUCUCUAAGCCUAACUUGGAAACUGCAUUGGAUACUAUCCGGCUCGAGGAAUGGAGGGGAGACUGGAAUACUUGGUGUAGCAGUGAAAUGCGUAGAUAUCAAGUGGAACACCAGUGGCGAAGGCGAGUCUCUGGACAUUUCCUGACGCUGAGGCACGAAAGCCAGGGGAGCAAACGGG